rnacentral:lncRNA from 1 species
UCAAGAAAAUCAAAGUACAGAGAAGGCUAACUUCCGAUUGUUCAUAUGCUCACAACCAUAACUGGAGUCAUCAACCCCCUAAAGUUUGUUAUGUAUGGAGGAAUAUAUUGCGUAACCGAAUCCUCAGCCAAGACAAGGAUGAGGAUUAGAAGGCAAUUUGUCAAUCAUUUUCAGAGGGCCUGCAUUGCUCCCCAAGUGUAGUCCAUCUGCUUGUGUGAAGUGUCAUUGUUGUCCUCCAUGACUCCCUCUAUUAUGGUAUACCAUAGAGGAUGUUGGGGUCGUAGAGACUAUCCACUAGCACCAAACACUGCUUCCAAAUAGCUGAUAGUGCAGGGGUUCAGUAACUCACCACUCCACUAUAACCACUAGUGACCAAAGCACUUAUAAUGUAGACCAUUCAACUAGCCAAGGAACACAAUUCCUGGCUUGCUAAGUCUUCUAGUUGCUCCCUUAAACCAUCCUCCCUUCUUCAUUUGGUUCAUAAGAUCAUCAAAGGAACCCCCACUUGAGUUCAGUCCUAUGCACCCUUCACCUUCAGUGCUUCCUUUUCUUGCAAGACCCUAUGGAAGUUCUCCUCCCUCCAACAAAUGGUCCAGCUAGCUCCACCACUGGAAGUAAGGCAAAGUACCAUAUUGCUGCCAACUAAGCUACCCACUUCAUCUCCACAUGUCAACGCAAUAAUAGAGUUCAGAAUUUUUCACAUUACUUGUGCCCGUGAAAGAACUAGAUUGGUCUAGAAGACCUGCACCCCAUAACACAUGUAUCAAUAUUUGUUAAGACUCUUCAGCAGUAUUAACGAUUUGAAACAUUUAAUUAACAGUUGUGCCGAUAAUAUCAAAUAUGCUAAUGAUUAGAUAACCACAUCUAUGUCACAAAACAUAUAGACCUUUCUACAAAAUUAAAUCUUAAUCAUAGUUGAUGUUGUUGUAGUGGGCUCUAGAUUAUACUAGGAAGAGGAUACCAAAAUCAUAUGCCUCAUUGUUGAUGGACUACAAAACCCAUUUCCCAAAUUUCCACAUAAAUUUAUUGUCUGAUCAAAUUUCCACAUAAAAACAAAGUUUUAUUUCUUGCUCCGAUACAAUAUUUUUUGGUAAUAUACCGAAUUGUAAUACCAGUGUGCUAGGUGGUACACCAACCCAUCCUGUCCAGUAUCACCAAAGAACAAAUUACAUAAAAAUGGAUACUAGAUCAUAUGAUCCGAUAUCAUUCCUUAGACUGGUAAACAACUGAUUACUGAAAUCAUGAUCAAAAGAAAUAUCAUAACCACUUUAGGACUGAGAAAAAGAAUAUAUAACACAAU